CCUACGGGAGGCAGCAGUGAGGAAUAUUGGUCAAUGGACGCGAGUCUGAACCAGCCAAGUAGCGUGAAGGAUGACUGCCCUAUGGGUUGUAAACUUCUUUUAUACAGGAAUAAAACGAGGCACGUGUGCCUUUUUGCAUGUACUUUAUGAAUAAGGAUCGGCUAACUCCGUGCCAGCAGCCGCGGUAAUACGGAGGAUCCGAGCGUUAUCCGGAUUUAUUGGGUUUAAAGGGAGCGUAGAUGGGUUGUUAAGUCAGUUGUGAAAGUUUGAGGCUCAACCGUAAAAUUGCAAUUGAUACUGGCAGUCUAGAGAACAGUUGAGGUAGGCGGAAUGCGUGGUGUAGCGGUGAAAUGCUUAGAUAUCACGAAGAACCCCGAUUGCGAAGGCAGCUUACUAAGCUGUGACUGACAUUGAUGCUCGAAAGUGUGGGUAUCAAACAGGAUUAGAUACCCGAGUAGUC
rnacentral:rRNA from 1 species